GUGAGUCAUCGAAUCUUUGAACGCACAUUGCGCCCUUUGGUAUUCCGAAGGGCAUGCCUGUUUGAGUGUCAUUAUAUUCUCAACCCAAAAGCUUUUUAUUAAGCGUUUGUGGCUUGGACGUGGGGGUUUUGCUGGCUUCCUUCAGUGGAUGGUCUGCUCCUCUUAAAUGCAUUAGCGGGAUCUCUUGUUGACCGUCACUUGGUGUGAUAACUAUCUAUGCCACUUGACUAGUAAGCAAAUCUUAUGGGAACCCGCUCAUAACCGUCUCUUCACUGGGACAACUUUUGACAUCUUGACCUC
rnacentral:misc_RNA from 1 species